GGAGUUGUGGCAAAAUGGUUAACGAAUCUGACUGGGAAUCAUGAGGUUGUGGGUUCGAUCCCUACCCUUUCUC
rnacentral:tRNA from 1 species